CGUAAAGCGUACGCAGGCGGUUUGUUAAGCGAGAUGUGAAAGCCCCGGGCUCAACCUGGGAACUGCAUUUCGAACUGGCAAACUAGAGUGUGAUAGAGGGUGGUAGAAUUUCAGGUGUAGCGGUGAAAAUGCGUAGAGAUCUGAAGGAAUACCGAUGGCGAAGGCAGCCACCUGGGUCAACACUGACGCUCAUGUACGAAAGCGUGGGGAGCAAACGGGAUUAGAUACCCUGGUAG
rnacentral:rRNA from 1 species